UACAGAGGUCUCAAGCGUUGUUCGGAUUCAUUGGGGCGUAAAGGGUGCGUAGGCGGCGCGGUAAGUCGGGUGUGAAAUCUCGGAGCUUAACUCCGAAACUGCAUUCGAUACUGCCGUGCUUGAGGACUGGAGAGGAGACUGGAAUUUACGGUGUAGCGGUGAAAUGCGUAGAUAUCGUAAGGAAGACCAGUGGCGAAGGCGGGUCUCUGGACAGUUCCUGACGCUGAGGCACGAAGGUCAGGGGGAGCAAACGGG
rnacentral:rRNA from 1 species